GCAGUGAGGGUGAUCUGGCUGCUACAUCUGUCACCCCAUUGAUCAGGGUUGAUUUAGCUGAUCUGGCUGGCUAGGCGGCUGUCCCCUUCCUCACUGCUCCAUGUGCUUUCCUCCCGAAGCUACGUGCUCGGUUGAAGAGGACAGCCUUCCCCAAAUAGAGACUGACGGGUCUUGGGUGGAAGGUAUAUGAGUAGCUGCACUCCCCCGCUAGAUCCUCCAAACAAGCUCUCUUGUUCUUAUAAAAUAAUAUAUUUACAUAGGUUACUCCUACCAUUCUUCUUUAAG
rnacentral:snRNA from 1 species